GCCGGGCAUAGUGGCUUUCACCUGCAGUCCCAGCUACUAGGGAGGCUGAGGCAGGAGGCUUGCUUGAGCUCAGGAGUUCUAGGCUGCAGUGAUCCAUGAUCGCGCCACUGCAGUCCAGCCUGGGUGACAGAGUGAAACCCUGUCUCUU
rfam:Pan troglodytes isolate Yerkes chimp pedigree #C0471 (Clint) chromosome 11, whole genome shotgun sequence.